rnacentral:tRNA from 1 species
CCGGGCGUAGCGCAGUUGGCAGCGCGCUUGAAUGGGGUUCAAAAGGCCGCAAGUUCAAAUUUUGUCACUCCGACCA